rfam:Oryza glaberrima chromosome 6 Oglab06_0217_21, whole genome shotgun sequence.
AAAUAGUGUAGUUUUGCACUUUUUUUAUAUCCAUGACCGUUUAUUUUAUUUGAAAAUUUUUAUGAUUAAUAUUUUUAUUGUUAUUAAGAUGAUAAAAGAUGAAUAGUGCUUUAUCUAUGACUAUAUAUUUUAAAAAUUUUUUUAUAAAUUUUUUAAAUAAGAUGGAUAGUCAAACGUUGUACAUGAAACACACAAUUGCACUUAAA